rnacentral:rRNA from 1 species
GGACUACAGGGGUAUCUAAUCCCGUUUGCUCCCCUGGCUUUCGUGUCUCAGCGUCAGCAUGCCCCCAGCGAGUUGUUUUCACCAUUGGCGUUCCAAAUGAUAUCUACGCAUUUCACCGCUCCACCAUUUGUUCCACUCGCCCCUAGGCAGCUCAAGACCCGCAGUAUACCGAGCAGUUCCACGGUUAAGCCGUGGGAUUUCACAAGGUACUUACAGGUCCGCCUACACACGCUUUAAGCCCAGUGAUUCCGCCUAACGCUUGGCACCUCUGUCUUACCGCGGCUGCUGGCAC